rnacentral:rRNA from 1 species
AACCAGCUCCCCGAGGGGUUCCCACGCAUACUGGGCCUAAAGCGUCCGUAGCCGGCCCCGUAAGUCCUCGGUUAAAUCCGCCUGAGGACAGGCGGACCGCCGAGGAUACUGCGGGGCUAGGGAGCGGGAGGGGCCGAGGGUAUUCCGGGGGGAGCGGUAAAAUGCGUAGAUCCCCGGAGGACCACCAGUGGCGGAGGCGCUCGGCUGGAACGCGUCCGACGGUGAGGGACGAAAGCUGGGGGAGCAAACCGG